AUGCACGCUGGCGGCGUGCCUAAUCCAUGCAAGUCGCGCGAACAGACGAGGAGCUUGCUCCUUCGACGUUAGCGGCGGACGGGUGAGUAACACGUAGGUAACCUACCUAUAAGACUGGGAUAACUUCGAGAAACCGGAGCUAAUACCGGAUAAUAUUUCGAACCGCAUGGUUCGAUAGUGAAAGAUGGCUUUGCUAUCACUUAUAGAUGGACCUGCGCCGUAUUAGCUAGUUGGUAAGGUAACGGCUUACCAAGGCAACGAUACGUAGCCGACCUGAGAGGGUGAUCGGCCACACUGGAACUGAGACACGGUCCAGACUCCUACGGGAGGCAGCAGUAGGGAAUCUUCCGCAAUGGGCGAAAGCCUGACGGAGCAACGCCGCGUGAGUGAUGAAGGUCUUCGGAUCGUAAAACUCUGUUAUUAGGGAAGAACAAACGUGUAAGUAACUGUGCACGUCUUGACGGUACCUAAUCAGAAAGCCACGGCUAACUACGUG
rnacentral:rRNA from 1 species